AUCCAUAUUAACCUGAUAUAUAUAUCAUCCUUUGUAACCUUGGUGAGCAAACCCUAGCCGUUCCAAACACAACCAUUUUUCUUUGGCUUUGUUUUCUCUCCGAUUCAGAAACUCAACAAGGUUCUUUGAUUUACUUUUCUAUCCUGAAGAUUCAGUAUUUAUAAGAUCUGAAAACUUGUGGUGACACGAAGAAUCUAAAGUUAAUUUCAAGAUGAAGAUCUUGUUAGAAAGAUACCACAAAUGUUUAACCAAGAAAUUGUCAACAAAAUUGUUGUAGGUUUUGUGACGGUACAUCAGCAAAGCAAGUUGGGGAUUAGCAUUACAGAACAUUUCUUUAUGUAGGAUCUUCCUGUGUAUGGAUUAUUAUAGCAUCAUAAAGGAGGAAUUGCUUUGUGUCUCCUUCAAGUCUAUGUUGCGAAGGAAGCAUCAACAUAACAAAUAUAUGAGCAUAUAUGGACAUUUGGACAAACAUAAAUUGUGUUUACUUGAUUUUAAGAAAUAACAAA